rnacentral:rRNA from 1 species
GAUGAACGCUAGCGACAGGCUUAACACAUGCAAGUCGAGGGGCAGCGGGGAGUAGCAAUACUCUGCCGGCGACCGGCGCACGGGUGAGUAACGCGUAUGCAACUUACCUAUCAGAGGAGAAUAGCUCAUCGAAAGAUGAAUUAAUGCUCCAUAAAACAGGGGUCCCGCAUGGGAAUAUUUGUUAAAGAUUUAUCGGUAAGCGAUGGGGAUGCGUUCCAUUAGGCAGUUGGCGGGGUAACGGCCCACCAAACCUACGAUGGAUAGGGGUUCUGAGAGGAAGGUCCCCCACAUUGGAACUGGGACACGGUCCAA